UGGUCAAUGAUGACUAGCCCACUGCGCAAUCUGAGUUCCAAAGUGAACCUCACUGAUGGAAACAGUGCUGAUAAAUGUCUGAGACCA